rnacentral:rRNA from 1 species
UACGGGGGGGGCAAGCGUUGUUCGGAAUUACUGGGCGUAAAGGGCUCGUAGGCGGCCAACUAAGUCGGACGUGAAAUCCCCAGGCUCAACCUGGGAACUGCGUCUGAUACUGGAUGGCUUGAAUCCGGGAGAGGGAUGCAGAAUUCCAGGUGUAGUGGUGAAAUACGUAGAUAUCAGGAGGAAUACCGGAGGCGAAGGCGGCUUACUAGCCAGACACUGACACUCAGACCCGAAAGUGUGGGGAUCAAACAGG